rnacentral:misc_RNA from 1 species
UUCUUUUCCGCAACUGUUUGCUGAAGAGCUAGCCGAUCAGGGGAGAUCACUUAACUAUUACAAGCUCACCAACCCAUCGUUCAUGUUACUGUUGCGUUCUUAAAACAUCUUUGUGGUGGCUGGAUAAAUACAAGUUGAAAUAAUGGCUUCAGACCUCCCAAGUGAUUUUGACAUUGUGGUUCUUGGUACAGGGCUUCAAGAAAGUAUUCUUGCAGCUGCUUUUUCUAGAAUUGGCCUGAAAGUUCUCCACAUUGACAGGAAUGACUAUUACGGUGGGCCCUGGGCUUCCUUCAAUCUGCAAGGCGUUGACAAGUGGAUUAUUCAGAAACAGCAGAGUGCAUCAUUUUGUUGCCAACCACUUGACUCUGAUCAUCUGUUGACCUUGGUGAAGGAAGGGGAAAAGCUUCUGGAACUUCCAGGAACAUACACCAGUGUCUUGGAACCCCAGUCACACUACCAUGUGGAUAAACGACCAGAGAUAAAUGAGGAAAAGAUUGCCGAGGACACACAAGACAUGAAUGUUAGCAUUCAGAGACAGGAGAACAAUAAUACUUUACCACAGAGUGCUUCAUCUGAAUAUGAUGGUGAAAAGGACAAACCAGGACAAAAGCCAAGUGUUGUUGAGACAGCCCAAAGUAAAGAAGGGGCUUUAGGUGGUGGAUCUAAAGAGGGAACAACUGCUGAGGAAAGUGUUGCCAAAGACUUUGAUGGUCAGUUUAGCUCUGCUUCAGAAGAGGAUGGAGAAUCAGCAGACACCCCAACUGUUGACAAGGAGACAUCUCCAUCAGAUGUGGUUGAUUACAUACCAACAAAAGACAAACAGGAAAGGCAGUGUGAGUGGUUUGCUGAUGACAUAUGUAAAGAGUGGAGGAGAUACAGCAUAGACCUAGCACCAAAGCUGCUAUACUGUGCCGGAUCUAUGGUGGAACUGCUGAUUGUCUCAGAUGUUGCCAAGUAUUGUGAAUUUCGAACAGUCAGUCGUGUGCUCACAAUGCAUGAUGGGAAACUUGAAAAGGUACCCUGCUCACGAGCAGAUGUAUUCAGCAGCAAAAUCCUGACUUUGCCCGAAAAACGACUGCUCAUGAAAUUCCUGACAUUUGCUGCAGAAUAUGAGCAACAUUCUGAAACCUACCAGGAUUAUUUGGAUAGGCCAUUUGCAGAUUUUCUUGACUCCCAGAAACUGACUACCAGGAUCAAACAUUUUGUGAUGGAAGCUAUUGCCAUGGUACUUCCCUCCUCUUCUACACAAGAGGGCUUGGCCAGCACACAGAAGUUCCUCCGUUCUCUGGGUCGUUAUGGUAACACAGCUUUUUUGUUUCCACUGUAUGGCAGUGGAGAACUUCCUCAGGGCUUUUGCAGGCUUUCUGCAGUGUUUGGAGGUUGCUACUGUCUUACUUUGUCAGCUUUACAUCUUGUCAUCACAGAGGCAGAUAACAGAUGUAUAGGUAUUAUCACAAAUGGUGGUCAGAGAAUCAACUGCAAAUACCUCAUAGGAGACCCAAGUUAUAUGCCAUCAGAUUUCUACAUUCAUGACAACAGGAAUAUCAGUCGAGGGAUAUUUGUGACAGAUAGAACUAUCUUUCCUGGAGCUGAAGAGGAGCGAGGAAAAUGCUACAGCAACUACUGUGCUGGAGUUACCUUCUUCUGCCAUGGUUUGUCAAGGCAGUACAUAUCUUGUUCAUCUAACAUGUAGUGCUAGGGCUGAUGCUGCAACAGAUUUAAAGCCUGCCGCCAACACACUUUUUGACAUGUGUCCUCAGCAGACAGAUGACUGUGCAGAAGUGGGAAAGAGAAAGCCCAGGGUACUCUGGUCACUUUUUUUCAAGCAGGUAGAUUUAUCAAAUAUCACAGCCACAGAGAAGGUACCAGAGAAUUUGUUUAUUGUGUGCGGGCCUGGAGCUGAG